rnacentral:rRNA from 1 species
UUCGCAAUGCCCGAAAGGGUGACGAAGCGACGCCGCGUGCGGGAAGAAGGCCUUCGGGUUGUAAACCGCUGUCGGGAGUUAAGAAAUGCAAGGAUAUUAAUAGUGUCUUUGCUUGACUAAGGCUCCGGAGGAAACCACGGCUAACUCUGUGCCAGCAGCCGCGGUAAUACAGAGGCGGCAAGCGUUGUUCGGUAUUAUUGGGCGUAAAGAGCACGUAGGUGGUUUUGUAAGUCAGAUGUGAAAGCCUUCUGUUCAAAGGAAGAACGGCAUCUGAAACUGCAGAUCUUGAGUGUAGGAGGGGAGAGUGGAACUUCUGGUGGAGCGGUGAAAUGCGUAGAUAUCAGAAGGAACGGCGGCGGCGAAAGCGACUCUCUGGCCUAUUACUGACACUGAGUGUGCGAAAGUUAGGGGAGCAAACGGGAUUAGAUACCCCGGUAGUCCUAACUGUAAACGAUGGGCACUAAGUAGAGGGGUUUU